CCAACGGAAAAAUGGCCAAAAAACGGGUGGGCUAUAGUCUUGGUGGGGGGCCUGGGCGAAGUUCGUCCGCCGGACUCGGAAUGGCCUCAGACUUGGCGGGCGGCCUCCGUGUGCCAAAAGUAGGCCACGGGCACAGCCGCGCCCAAAAAUCAGCCCCCGAAGUUGGGGUCCCAAGACCCCCCAACGGAAAAAUGGCCAAAAAACGGGUGGGCUAUAGCCUUGGUGGGGGGCGUGGGCGAAGUUCGUCCGCCGGACUCGGAAUGGCCUCAGACUUGGCGGGCGGCCUCCGUGUGCCAAAAGUAGGCCACGGGAACAGCCGCGCCCAAAAAUCAGCCCCCGAAGUUGGGGUCCCAAGACCCCCCAGCGGAAAAAUGGCCAAAAAACGGGUGGGCUAUAGCCUUGGUGGGCGGCGUGGGCGAAGUUCGUCCGCGGGACUCAGAAUGGCCCCAGACUUGGCGAGCGGCCUCCGUGUGCCAAAAAUAGGCCACGGGCACAGCCGCGCCCAAAAAUCAGCCCCCGAAGGUCGGGGUCCAAAGACCCCCCAUUGGAAAAAUGGCCAAAAAAUGGGUGGGCUAUAGCCUUGGUGGGAGGCGUGGGCGAAGUUCGUCCGCCGGACUCGGAAUGGCCCCAGACUUGGCGGGCGGCCUCCGUGUGCCAAAAAUAGGCCACGGGCACAGGCGUGCCCAAAAAUCAGCCCCUGAAGGUCGGGGUCCCAAGACUCCCGAGCGGAAAAAUGGCCAAAAAACGGUUGGGCUAUAGCCUUGGUGGGGGGCGUGGGCGAAGUUCGUCCGCCGGACUCGGAAUGGCCCUAGACUUGGCGGGCGGCCUACGUGUGCCAAAAAUAGGCCACGGGCACAACCGCGCCCAAAAAUCAGCCCCCAAAGGUCGGGGUCCCAAGACCCCCCAGUAGAAAAAUGGCAAAAAAACGGGUGGGCUAUAGCCUUGGUGGGCGGCGUGGGCGAAGUUCGUCCGCGGGACUCGGAAUGGCACCAGACUUGGCGGGCGGCCUCCGUGUGCCAAAAAUAGGCCACGGGCACAGCGGCACCCAAAAAUCAGCCCCCGAAGGUCGGGGUCCCAAGACCCCCCAGCGGAAAAAUGGCCAAAAAACGGGUGGGCUAUAGCCUAUGUGGGGGGCGUGGGCGAAGUUCGUCCGCCAGACUCGGAAUGGCUCCAGACUUGGCGGGUGGCCUCCGUGUGCUAAAAAUAGGCCACGGGCACAGGCGCGCCCAAAAAUCAGCCCCCGAAGGUCGGGGUCCCAAGACCCCCCAACGGAAAAAUGGCCAAAAAACGGGUGGGCUAUAGCCUUGGUGGGGGGCGUGGGCGAAGUUUGUCCGCCGGACUCGGAAUGGCCUCAGACUUGGCGGGCGGCCUCCGUGUGCCAAAAGUAGGCCACGGGCACAGCCGCGCCCAAAAAUCAGCCCCCGAAGUUGGGGUCCCAAGACCCCNNNNNNNNNNNNNNNNNNNNNNNNNNNNNNNNNNNNNNNNNNNNNNNNNNNNNNNNNNNNNNNNNNNNNNNNNNNNNNNNNNNNNNNNNNNNNNNNNNNNUGGCGGGCGGCCUCCGUGUGCCAAAAGUAGGCCACGGGCACAGCCGCGCCCAAAAAUCAGCCCCCGAAGUUGGGGUCCCAAGACCCCCCAGCGGAAAAAUGGCCAAAAAACGGGUGGGCUAUAGGCUUGGUGGGCGGCGUGGGCGAAGUUCGUCCGCGGGACUCAGAAUGGCCCCAGACUUGGCGGACGGCCUCCGUGUGCCAAAAAUAGGCCACGGGCACAGCCGCGCCCAAAAAUCAGCCCCCGAAGGUCGGGGUCCCAAGACCCCCCAGCGGAAAAAUGGCCAAAAAACGGGUGGGCUAUAGCCUUGGUGGGGGGCGUGGGGGAAGUUCGUCCCCCGGACUCGGAAUGGCCCCAGACUUGGCGGGCGGCCUCCGUGUGCCAAAAAUAGGCCACGGGUACAGCCGUGCCCAAAAAUCAGCCCCCGAAGGUCGGGGUCCCAAGACCCCCAACCGGAAAAAUGGCCAAAAAACGGGUGGGCUAUAGCCUUGGUGGGGGGCGUGGGCGAAGUUCGUCCGCCGGACUCGGAAUGGCCCCUGACUUGGCGGGACGGCCUCCGUGUGCCAAAAAUAGCCCACGGGCACAGGCGCGCCCAAAAAUCAGCCCCCGAAGGUCGGGGGGCCAAGACCCCCCAGCGGAAAAUGGCCAAAAAACGGGUGGGCUAUAGCCUGGUGGGGGGCUGGGGCGAAGUUCGUCCGCCUGACUCGGAAUGGCCCCAGACUAGGCGGGCGGCCUCCGUGUGCCAAAAAUAGGCCACGGGCACAGCCGCGCCCAAAAAUCAGCCCCCGAAGGUCGGGGUCCCAAGACACCCCAGCGGAAAAAUGAGCAAAAAACGGGUGGACUAUAGCCUUGGUGGGGGGCGUGGGCGAAGUUCGUCCGCCGGACUCGGAAUGGCCCCAGACUUGGCGGGCGGCCUCCGUGUGCCAAAAAUAGGCCACGGGCACAGGCGCGCCCAAAAAUCAGCACCCGAAAGUCGGGGUCCCAAGACCCCCCAGCGGAAAAAUGGCCAAAAAAUGGGUUGGCUAUAGCCUUGGUGGGGGGCGCGGGCGAAGUUCGUCCGCGGGACUCGGAAUGGCACCAGACUUGGCGGGCGGCCUCCGUGUGCCAAAAAUAGGCCACGGGCACAGCCGCGCCCAAAAAUCAGCCCACGAAAGUCGGGGUUCCAAGACCCCCCAGCGGAAAAAUGGCCAAAAAAUGGGUGGGCUAUAGCCUUGGUGGGGUGCGUGGGCGAAGUUCGUCUGCGGGACUCGGAAUGGCACCAGACUUGGCGGGCGGCCUCCGUGUGCCAAAAAUAGGCCACGGGCACAGCCGCGCCCAAAAAUCAGCCCCCGAAGGUCGGGGUCCCAAGACCCCCCAGCGGAAAAAUGAGCAAAAAACGGGUGGGCUAUAGCCUUGGUGGGGGGCGUGGGCGAAGUUCGUCCGCCGGACUCGGAAUGGCCCCAGACUUGGCGGCCGGCCUCCGUGUGCCAAAAAUAGGCCACGGGCACAGGCGCGCCCAAAAAUCAGCCCCCGAAAGUCGGGGUCCCAAGACCCCCCAGCGGAAAAAUGGCCAAAAAACGGGUUGGCUAUAGCCUUGGUGGGGGGCGCGGGCGAUGUUCGUCCGCGGGACUCGGAAUGGCACCAGACUUGGCGGGCGGCCUCCGUGUGCCAAAAAUAGGCCACGGGCACAGCCGCGCCCAAAAAUCAGCCCACGAAANNNNNNNNNNNNNNNNNNNNNNNNNNNNNNNNNNNNNNNNNNNNNNNNNNNNNNNNNNNNNNNNNNNNNNNNNNNNNNNNNNNNNNNNNNNNNNNNNNNNNNNNNNNNNNNNNNNNNNNNNNNNNNNNNNNGCCAAAAAUAGGCCACGGGCCCAGCGCGGCCCAAAAAUCAGCCCCCGAAGUUGGGGUUCCCAGGCCCCCCCAACGGAAAAAUGGCCAAAAAACGGGUGGGCUAUAGCCUUGGUGGGGGGCGUGGGCGAAGUUCGUCCGCCGGACUCGGAAUGGCCUCAGACUUGGCGGGCGGCCUCCGUGUGCCAAAAGUAGGCCACGGGAACAGCCGCGCCCAAAAAUCAGCCCCCGAAGUUGGGGUCCCAAGACCCCCCAGCGGAAAAAUGGCCAAAAAACGGGUGGGCUAUAGCCUUGGUGGGCGGCGUGGGCGAAGUUCGUCCGCGGGACUUAGAAUGGCCCCAGACUUGGCGCGCGGCCUCCGUGUGCCAAAAAUAGGCCACGGGCACAGCCGCGCCCAAAAAUCAGCCCCCGAAGGUCGGGGUCCCAAGACCCCCCAUUGGAAAAAUGGCCAAAAAAUGGGUGGGCUAUAGCCUUGGUGGGAGGCGUGGGCGAAGUUCGUCCGCCGGACUCGGAAUGGCCCCAGACUUGGCGGGCGGCCUCCGUGUGCCAAAAAUAGGCCACGGGCACAGGCGUGCCCAAAAAUCAGCCCCUGAAGGUCGGGGUCCCAAGACUCCCGAGCGGAAAAAUGGCCAAAAAACGGUUGGGCUAUAGCCUUGGUGGGGGGCGUGGGCGAAGUUCGUCCGCCGGACUCGGAAUGGCCCUAGACUUGGCGGGCGGCCUACGUGUGCCAAAAAUAGGCCACGGGCACAACCGCGCCCAAAAAUCAGCCCCCGAAGGUCGGGGUCCCAAGACCCCCCAGUAGAAAAAUGGCAAAAAAACGGGUGGGCUAUAGCCUUGGUGGGCGGCGUGGGCGAAGUUCGUCCGCGGGACUCGGAAUGGCACCAGACUUGGCGGGCGGCCUCCGUGUGCCAAAAAUAGGCCACGGGCACAGCGGCACCCAAAAAUCAGCCCCCGAAGGUCGGGGUCCCAAGACCCCCCAGCGGAAAAAUGGCCAAAAAACGGGUGGGCUAUAGCCUAUGUGGGGGGCGUGGGCGAAGUUCGUCCGCCAGACUCGGAAUGGCUCCAGACUUGGCGGGUGGCCUCCGUGUGCUAAAAAUAGGCCACGGGCACAGGCGCGCCCAAAAAUCAGCCCCCGAAGGUCGGGGUCCCAAGACCCCCCAGCGGAAAAAUGGCCAAAAAACGGGUGGGCUAUAGCCUUGGUGGGCGGCGUGGGCGAAGUUCGUCCGCGGGACUCAGAAUGGCCCCAGACUUGGCGGGCGGCCUCCGUGUGCCAAAAAUAGGCCACGGGCACAGCCGCGCCCAAAAAUCAGCCCCCGAAGGUCGGGGUCCCAAGACCCCCCAACGGAAAAAUGGCCAAAAAACGGGUGGGCUAUAGCCUUGGUGGGGGGCGUGGGCGAAGUUCGUCCGCCGGACUCGGAAUGGCCUCAGACUUGGCGGGCGGCCUCCGUGUGCCAAAAGUAGGCCACGGGCACAGCCGCGCCCAAAAAUCAGCCCCCGAAGGUUGGGGUCCCAAGACCCCCCAGCGUAAAAAUGGCCAAAAAAAGGGUGGGCUAUAGCCUUGGUGGGGGGCGUGGGCGAAGUUCGUCCGCGGGACUCGGAAUGGCCCCAGACUUGGCGGGCGGCCUCCGUGUGCAAAAAAUAGGCCACGGGCACAGGCGCGCCCAAAAAUCGCCCAAAAA
rnacentral:lncRNA from 1 species